rnacentral:rRNA from 1 species
AUGGCGUUCAAAAGGGGCACGUGGACGCGUCGCAAGAUACAGUCGGAGUGCGGCAUGCACGCGAUGUGGCACAACACCGGCAAUACCUUGCCGGUGAUGGUCAACGGCCGGCAGACGGGCAGCAAAAAGGUUCUGGUGCUGCACACCAACAAGAACCUCGACCAACAGAGGACCAAUUGGGUGAUGCACCAGUACCACCUCAGGGACCUGGAGUCGAGCAAGUUUCAACUGGGCUGUAGACUGCCCAGGCUUGGUUUUGUUUUUAACAGGCCCAGCCCAUGA